AUCAACUUUCGAUGGUAGGAUAGAGGCCUACCAUGGUGGUAACGGGUAACGGGGUGUUAGGGCACGACACCGGAGAGGGAGCCUGAGAAACGGCUACCACAUCCAAGGAUGGCAGCAGGCGCGCAAAUUACCCAAUCCCGACACGGGGAGGUAGUGACAAUAAAUAACAAUACGGGGUCCCUACGGGUUUCGUAAUUGGAAUGAGUACAAUUUAAAUCUCUUAACGAGGAACAAUUGGAGGGCAAGUCUGGUGCCAGCAGCCGCGGUAAUUCCAGCUCCAAUAGCGUAUAUUAAAGUUGUUGCAGUUAAAAAGCUCGUAGUUGAAUUUCGGGAUCAGCGCGUCGGUCGCGCCUCCGGUAUGCACUGGCGCCGCUGGGUUCUCCCUUCUGAGGAACCGUGAUGUCAUUAAUUUGGUGUUGCGGGAAAUCAGGACUGUUACUUUGAAAAAAUUAGAGUGUUUAAAGCGGGCACGCGCUUGAAUACAUUAGCAUGGAAUAACGAAAUAGGACGUUCGAUCUUAUUUUGUUGGUUUCUAGGAUUGACGUAAUGAUUAAUAGGGAUAGUUGGGGGCAUUAGUAUUCAAUUGUCAGAGGUGAAAUUCUUGGAUUUAUUGAAGACUAACUACUGCGAAAGCAUUUGCCAAGGAUGUUUUCAUUAAUCAAGAACGAAAGUUAGGGGAUCGAAGACGAUCAGAUACCGUCGUAGUCUUAACCAUAAACUAUGCCGACUAGGGAU
rnacentral:sRNA from 1 species